AGAUAAGGAGCUUGCUCCUUUGACGUUAGCGGCGGACGGGUGAGUAACACGUGGGUAACCUACCUAUAAGACUGGGACAACUUCGGGAAACCGGAGCUAAUACCGGAUAAUAUGUUGAACCGCAUGGUUCAAUAGUGAAAGAUGGUUUUGCUAUCACUUAUAGAUGGACCCGCGCCGUAUUAGCUAGUUGGUGAGGUAACGGCUCACCAAGGCAACGAUACGUAGCCGACCUGAGAGGGUGAUCGGCCACACUGGAACUGAGACACGGUCCAGACUCCUACGGGAGGCAGCAGUAGGGAAUCUUCCGCAAUGGGCGAAAGCCUGACGGAGCAACGCCGCGUGAGUGAUGAAGGUCUUAGGAUCGUAAAACUCUGUUAUUAGGGAAGAACAAACGUGUAAGUAACUGUGCACGUCUUGACGGUACCUAAUCAGAAAGCCACGGCUAACUACGUGCCAGCAGCCGCGGUAAUACGUAGGUGGCAAGCGUUAUCCGGAAUUAUUGGGCGUAAAGCGCGCGUAGGCGGUUUUUUAAGUCUGAUGUGAAAGCCCACGGCUCAACCGUGGAGGGUCAUUGGAAACUGGAAAACUUGAGUGCAGAAGAGGAAAGUGGAAUUCCAUGUGUAGCGGUGAAAUGCGCAGAGAUAUGGAGGAACACCAGUGGCGAAGGCGACUUUCUGGUCUGUAACUGACGCUGAUGUGCGAAAGCGUGGGGAUCAAACAGGAUUAGAUACCCUGGUAGUCCACGCCGUAAACGAUGAGUGCUAAGUGUUAGGGGGUUUCCGCCCCUUAGUGCUGCAGCUAACGCAUUAAGCACUCCGCCUGGGGAGUACGACCCAAGUG
rnacentral:rRNA from 1 species